rnacentral:rRNA from 1 species
CUGGAACUUAUUGUGAAGUAGUUUUAUCAGGUAAAGCGAAUGAUUAGAGGCUUUGGGGAAGAAACUUCCUCGACCUAUUCUCAAACUUUAAAUAGGUAAGAUUUGAAGGAUACUUAAGUGAUCUUUCAAUCUCUUGAAUAUAAAGUUCUUAGUGGGCCAUUUUUGGUAAGCAGAACUGGCGAUGUGGGAUGAACCGAACGUUAAGUUAAAGUGCCAAAUAAUACGCUCAUGAGAUACCAUAAAAGGUGUUGGUUCAUUUUGACAGCAGGACGGUGGCCAUGGAAGUCGGAACCCGCUAAGGAGUGUGUAACAACUCACCUGCCGAAUGAACUAGCCCUGAAAAUGGAUGGCGCUUAAGCGUAUAACUUAUACUUAACCCCUUACUUGAAUUAUAAUAGCGAGUAAGGAGUAGGAGGGC